GUGCUCACUUCAGCAGUACAUAUACUAAAAUUGAAACGAUACAGAGAAGAUUAGCAUGGCCCCUACGCAAAUUUGUGAAGUGUUCAAUAUUUUU
ensembl:snRNA U6 U6 spliceosomal RNA